rnacentral:rRNA from 1 species
GACGAACGCUGGCGGCGUGCCUAAUACAUGCAAGUCGAGCGCAGGAAACUGGCGGAACUCUUCGGAGGGAAGGCAGUGGAAUGAGCGGCGGACGGGUGAGUAACACGUAAGGAACCUGCCUCAAGGAUUGGGAUAACUCCGAGAAAUCGGAGCUAAUACCGGAUAGUUCAACGGACCGCAUGGUCCGCUGAUGAAAGGCGCUCCGGCGUCACCUUGAGAUGGCCUUGCGGUGCAUUAGCUAGUUGGUGGGGUAACGGCCCACCAAGGCGACGAUGCAUAGCCGACCUGGGAGGGUGAUCGGCCACACUGGGACUGAGCCACGGCCCAGACUCCUACGGGAGGCAGCAGUAGGGAAUCUUGCACGAUGGACGAAAGUCUGAUGGAGCAACGCCGCGUGAGUGAUGAAGGUUUUCGGAUCGUAAAACUCUGUUGUAAGGGAAGAACACGUACGAGAGGGAAUGCUCGUACCUUGACGGUACCUUACGAGAAAGCCACGGCUAACUACGUGCCAGCCGCCGCCGUAACAC